rnacentral:rRNA from 1 species
AUUGAACGCUGGCGGCAGGCCUAACACAUGCAAGUCGAGCGGAUGAAGGGAGCUUGCUCCUGGAUUCAGCGGCGGACGGGUGAGUAAUGCCUAGGAAUCUGCCUGGUAGUGGGGGAUAACGUCCGGAAACGGGCGCUAAUACCGCAUACGUCCUGAGGGAGAAAGUGGGUGAUCUUCGGACCUCACGCUCUCAGAUGAGCCUAGGUCGGAUUAGCUAGUUGGUGGGGUAAAGGCCUACCAAGGCGACGAUCCGUAACUGGUCUGAUAGGAUGAUCAGUCACACUGGAACUGAGACACGGUCCAGACUCCUACGGGAGGCAGCAGUGGGGAAUAUUGGACAAUGGGCGAAAGCCUGAUACAGCCAUGCCGCGUGUGUGAAGAAGGUCUUCGGAUUGUAAAGCACUUUAAGUUGGGAGGAAGGGCAGUAAGUUAAUACCUUGCUGUUUUGACGGUACCAACAGAAUAAGCACCGGCUAACUUCGUG